rnacentral:rRNA from 1 species
UACGUAGGGUGCGAGCGUUGUCCGGAAUUAUUGGGCGUAAAGAGCUCGUAGGCGGUGUGUCACGUCGGCCGUGAAAACCUGCAGCUUAACUGUGGGCGUGCGGUCGAUACGGGCAUCACUGGAGUUCGGCAGGGGAGACUGGAGUUCCUGGUGUAGCGGUGGAAUGCGCAGAUAUCAGGAGGAACACCGGUGGCGAAGGCGGGUCUCUGGGCAGUAACUGACGCUGAGGAGCGAAAGCGUGGGGAGCGAACAGG